AUUGAACGCUGGCGGCAGGCCUAACACAUGCAAGUCGAGCGAGAGGCGGACGGGUGAGUACUGUCUGGGAAACUGCCUGAUGGAGGGGGCUAACUACUGGAAACGGUAGCUAAUACCGCAUACCAUCAGAUGUGCGCAGGUGGGAUUAGCUAGUAGGUGGGGUAACGGCUCACCUAGGCGACGCUCGCUAGCUGGGCUGAGAGGAUGACCAGCCACACGGGAACUGAGACACGGUCCAGACUCCUACGGGCGGCAGCAGUGGGGAAUAUUGCCCAAUGGGGUCAAGCCUGACGCAGCCAGGCCGCGUGGGUGAAGAAGGCCGUCGGGUUGUAAAGCACUUUCAGCGGGGAGGCGUUACCCGCAGAAGAAGCACCGGCUAACUCCGUGCCAGCAGCCGCGGUAAUAC
rnacentral:rRNA from 1 species